AGACACGAAUAGGAGAGCUUAGCUCAUAAACUGACCCUAAUCAUGCUGCCAAGAAAAUCCUCUAUGUUAGAUGCUGCGCUGACCGUACCGUAAACGGACACACGUGGGCGAGGAGAGUAUCCUCAGGCGCUUGUGAGAAUCCAGGUUAAGGAACUCGGCAAAUUAGCCCCGUAACUUCGGGAGAAGGGGUGCCCUUAUUAGGUGAAGAACUUCGCGUUUGGAGCCGAAAGGGGCCGCAGUGGCCAGGCUCAAUCGACUGUUUACUAAAAACACAGGUCUCUGCUAAGUCGCAAGACGAAAUAUAGGGACUGACACCUGCCCGGUGCUGGAAGGUUAAAUGGAGAGGUUAGUUCCGAUUUAUCGGGACGAAGCUUUGAAAUGAAGCCCCAGUAAACGGCGGCCGUAACUAUAACGGUCCUAAGGUAGCGAAAUUCCUUGUCGGGUAAGUUCCGACCUGCACGAAUGGUGUAACGAAUUGAGCACUGUCUCAACCUGGAGCACAGCGAAAUUGAAGUGUCGGUGAAGAUACCGGCUACCCGCGGCAGGACGAAAAGACCCCGUGAACCUUUACUAUAACUUAGCAUUGGAUUUUGGUUAUGCAUGUGCAGGAUAGGUGGGAGGCUAUGAAACUUGGACGCUAGUCCGGGUGGAGCCAUCCUUGAAAUACCACCCUUGUAUUGCUAGAACUCUAAUCCCGACCCGUGAAUCCGGGCGAGAGACAGUGUUAGGUGGGUAGUUUGACUGGGGCGGUCUCCUCCCAAAAGGUAACGGAGGAGCUCAAAGGUUCCCUCAGCACGGUCGGUAAUCGUGCGAAGAGUGCAAAGGCAUAAGGGAGCUUAACUGCGAGGUCGACGGACCGAGCAGGUGCGAAAGCAGGACUUAGUGAUCUGGUGGUUCCGUAUGGAAGGGCCAUCACUCAACGGAUAAAAGGUACUCCGGGGAUAACAGGCUUAUCUCCCCCAAGAGUUCACAUCGACGGGGAGGUUUGGCACCUCGAUGUCGGCUCAUCACAUCCUGGAGCUGGAGAAGGUUCCAAGGGUUGGGCUGUUCGCCCAUUAAAGUGGUACGUGAGCUGGGUUUAGAACGUCGUGAGACAGUUCGGUCUCUAUCCGCCGUGGGCGCAAGAUAUUUGAGGGAAUCUGCUUCUAGUACGAGAGGACCGAAGUGGACGAACCUCUGGUGUACCAGUUGUUCCAUCAGGAGCACGGCUGGGUAGCUAUGUUCGGACCGGAUAAGCGCUGAAAGCAUAUAAGCGCGAAACCGAUCCCAAGAUUAGAUAUCUCUAACAUAAGUUAAUAAGGCUCGUUGUAGACUACGACGUUGAUAGGCUGCAGGUGUAAGUGUAGUAAUACAUUCAGCCGAGCAGUACUAAUAAGCCGAACGGCUUUACCAA
rnacentral:rRNA from 1 species